rnacentral:rRNA from 1 species
GGAAUUACUGGGCGUAAAGAGCUCGUAGGUGGUUUGUCGCGUUGUUCGUGAAAUCUCACGGCUUAACUGUGAGCGUGCGGGCGAUACGGGCAGACUUGAGUACUGCAGGGGAGACUGGAAUUCCUGGUGUAGCGGUGGAAUGCGCAGAUAUCAGGAGGAACACCGGUGGCGAAGGCGGGUCUCUGGGCAGUAACUGACGCUGAGGAGCGAAAGCGUGGGGAGCGAACAGGAUUAGAUACCCUGGUAGUCCACGCCGUAAACGGUGGGUACUAGGUGUGGGUUUCCUUCCUUGGGAUCCGUGCCGUAGCUAACGCAUUGAGUACCCCGCCUGGGGAGUACGGCCGCAAGGCUAAAACUCAAAGAAAUUGACGGGGGCCCGCACAAGCGGCGGAGCAUGUGGAUUAAUUCGAUGCAACGCGAAGAACCUUACCUGGGUUUGACAUGCACAGGACGCCGGCAGAGAUGUCGGUUCCCUUGUGGCCUGUGUGCAGGUGGUGCAUGGCUGUCGUCAGCUCGUGUCGUGAGAUGUUGGGUUAAGUCCCGCAACGAGCGCAACCCUUGUCUCAUGUUGCCAGCGGGUAAUGCCGGGGACUCGUGAGAGACUGCCGGGGUCAACUCGGAGGAAGGUGGGGAUGACGUCAAGUCAUCAUGCCCCUUAUGUCCAGGGCUUCACACAUGCUACAAUGGCCGGUACAAAGGGCUGCGAUGCCGCGAGGUUAAGCGAAUCCUUUUAAAGCCGGUCUCAGUUCGGAUCGGGGUCUGCAACUCGACCCCGUGAAGUCGGAGUCGCUAGUAA